UACGGAGGGUGCGAGCGUUGUUCGGAAUCACUGGGCGUAAAGCGCACGUAGGCGGAUCGUUAAGUCGGGGGUGAAAUCCUGGAGCUCAACUCCAGAACUGCCUUCGAUACUGGCGAUCUUGAGUCCGGAAGAGGUGAGUGGAACUCCUAGUGUAGAGGUGGAAUUCGUAGAUAUUAGGAAGAACACCAGUGGCGAAGGCGGCUCACUGGUCCGGUACUGACGCUGAGGUGCGAAAGCGUGGGGAGCAAACAGG
rnacentral:rRNA from 1 species